rnacentral:rRNA from 1 species
UACGUAGGGAGCAAGCGUUGUCCGGAAUCAUUGGGCGUAAAGCGCGUGUAGGCGGUUCGGUAAGUCGGCUGUGAAAGUCCAGGGCUCAACCCUGGGAUGCCGGUCGAUACUGCCGGACUAGAGUUCGGAAGAGGCGAGUGGAAUUCCCGGUGUAGCGGUGAAAUGCGCAGAUAUCGGGAGGAACACCAAUGGCGAAGGCAGCUCGCUGGGACGUUACUGACGCUGAGACGCGAAAGCGUGGGGAGCAAACAGG